AACGCUAGCUACAGGCUUAACACAUGCAAGUCGAGGGGCAGCAUGGUCUUAGCUUGCUAAGGCCGAUGGCGACCGGCGCACGGGUGAGUAACACGUAUCCAACCUGCCGUCUACUCUUGGACAGCCUUCUGAAAGGAAGAUUAAUACAAGAUGGCAUCAUGAGUCCGCAUGUUCACAUGAUUAAAGGUAUUCCGGUAGACGAUGGGGAUGCGUUCCAUUAGAUAGUAGGCGGGGUAACGGCCCACCUAGUCUUCGAUGGAUAGGGGUUCUGAGAGGAAGGUCCCCCACAUUGGAACUGAGACACGGUCCAAACUCCUACGGGAGGCAGCAGUGAGGAAUAUUGGUCAAUGGGCGAGAGCCUGAACCAGCCAAGUAGCGUGAAGGAUGANNGCCCUAUGGGUUGUAAACUUCUUUUAUAAAGGAAUAAAGUGAGGCACGUGUGCCUUUUUGUAUGUACUUUAUGAAUAAGGAUCGGCUAACUCCGUGCCAGCAGCCGCGGUAAUACGGAGGAUCCGAGCGUUAUCCGGAUUUAUUGGGUUUAAAGGGAGCGUAGAUGGGUUGUUAAGUCAGUUGUGAAAGUUUGCGGCUCAACCGUAAAAUUGCAAUUGAUACUGGCGUCCUUGAGUACAGUUGAGGUGGGCGGAAUUCGUGGUGUAGCGGUGAAAUGCUUAGAUAUCACGAAGAACUCCGAUUG
rnacentral:rRNA from 1 species